ACAGGGAUUGCCCUAGUAACGGCGAGUGAAGCGGCAACAGCUCAAAUUUGAAAUCUGGCUCUUUUAGGGUCCGAGUUGUAAUUUGCAGAGGGCGCUUUGGCGUUGGCAGCGGUCCAAGUUCCUUGGAACAGGACGUCACAGAGGGUGAGAAUCCCGUACGUGGUCGCUGGUCUUCGCCGUGUAAAGCCCCUUCGACGAGUCGAGUUGUUUGGGAAUGCAGCUCUAAAUGGGAGGUAAAUUUCUUCUAAAGCUAAAUACUGGCCAGAGACCGAUAGCGCACAAGUAGAGUGAUCGAAAGAUGAAAAGCACUUUGGAAAGAGAGUCAAAUAGCACGUGAAAUUGUUGAAAGGGAAGCGCUUGCAGCCAGACUUGCCUGUAGUUGCUCAUCCGGGCUUUUGCCCGGUGCACUCUUCUAUAGGCAGGCCAGCAUCAGUUUGGGCGGUUGGAUAAAGGUCUCUAUCACGUACCUCUCUUCGGGGAGGCCUUAUAGGGGAGACGACAUGCAACCAGCCUGGACUGAGGUCCGCGCAUUUGCUAGGAUGCUGGCGUAAUGGCUGUAAGCGGCCCGUCUUGAAACACGGACCAAGGAGUCUAACAUCUAUGCGAGUGUUUGGGUGUCAAGCCCGAACGCGUAAUGAAAGUGAACGGAGGUGGGAACCCUUUAGGGCGCACCAUCGACCGAUCCUGAUGUCUUCGGAAGGAUUUGAGUAAGAGCAUGGCUGUUGGGACCCGAAAGAUGGUGAACUAUGCUUGAAUAGGGUGAAGCCAGAGGAAACUCUGGUGGAGGCUCGCAGCGGUUCUGACGUGCAAAUCGAUCGUCAAAUUUGGGCAUAGGGGCGAAAGACUAAUCGAACUAUCUAGUAGCUGGUUCCUGCCGAAGUUUCCCUCAGGAUAGCAGUAACGUAUUCAGUUUUAUGAGGUAAAGCGAAUGAUUAGAGGCCUGGGGGUUGAAACAACCUU
rnacentral:rRNA from 1 species